rnacentral:rRNA from 1 species
AUGACGCCAAUGACCUUAACAGCUACCUGCCACGGGAAUGGAUACACUAAAACUGGAAUCUGUGACAGGCAUCUCGAGGUACAGCGUCAUAACUCAACGGCAAGGAUAACGCGGCCGGGGUGCAGGUGCUCAAAAAAUCCGCAUCCGGAGACGGCGAGCCCAUGGAGAAGCGCAACCAAGAGCCGUCCCUGUCGUCGUCCUUGGGCUGAGAAGGGGAGGGGAGGACGAGAUGAAGAGAGGAGGGAGAGUGAGACAGCGAGCCCAUGGAGAAGCGCAACCGGGAGAAAAUCUGCCCGUCAGCGGUACGAAGGCGACAGCCCUCUCCACCUCCGUGCGGCCACCCAGGUUACUCAAUUAGAUGUAAAGAGUUUCUUUGAAGAACUUUGUGGUGAGGCUAUGCUGAUUGCCCUGGUGAAUGACAAUGAUAUCUUUGGGGAAGCUUCAGAAAGUACAUCAACUUCUGCAACAUCUGUACCUACUGCAGAUCUUACGAGUAUUGAUCAGCUUCUCAAAACAUCAAGUGUAUGCCCAGACUCGAGCAGGUUCGCUGUUAUUGUUGUUCUUGUGUGUCAAGGCUUUUGGCUGCAGACUUGCAGCAGAAGGGGCAGCUGGGGCAUGGGGACACUCUUGCGUAACCUCCAGCUGUCGUUUCUAAACUAUGAAGAGAAUCGGCUGAUUGUCACCUGGGUCAGCGAUCCCAUGCACCGGAACACCAUCAGCGCAUCUUGCAGGCUGAGGCUUUGUUUUAUGUCCAUGAGUGAGAGGGAGCUACCCUGGAAGGGUUCACCUAGAAAUGACAUGGCAGAACAUAGUGUGAGGGAGAUUACAGGAGACCUGACAAUAGAUUACUCAUUCGGUAUCUGCUGA